UGGGGAAUAUUGGACAAUGGGGGAAACCCUGAUCCAGCAAUGCCGCGUGAGUGAAGAAGGCCUUAGGGUUGUAAAGUUCUUUCGCCCGCGGAGAUAAUGACGGUAGCGGGAGAAGAAGCCCCGGCUAACUCCGUGCCAGCAGCCGCGGUAAUACGGAGGGGGCUAGCGUUGUUCGGAAUUACUGGGCGUAAAGCGUGCGUAGGUGGUUGUUUAAGUCUGAUGUGAAAGCCCUGGGCUCAACCUGGGAAUGGCAUUGGAAACUGGGCAGCUAGAGUGCGGUAGAGGGUAGUGGAAUUCCCGGUGUAGCAGUGAAAUGCGUAGAGAUCGGGAGGAACAUCUGUGGCGAAGGCGACUGCCUGGACCAGCACUGACACUGAGGCACGAAAGCGUGGGGAGCAAACA
rnacentral:rRNA from 1 species